GGUGGGCAGGUAUCAACCAUACGCGUUUCAGGACCCAUUCUUGGCCUCUUCCUCAGUUGUAGAGGUAAUCGUGGUAUUGGCAGUCCAGGCCCAGUGGGACGCCACAGAGAGCCGGACUCUAUGCCGUACCACGCUGUGUUACAGAACUAACAUUUAUGCCAAUACAUUUGCACAUGCUG